GGGAGAGAGCGCCACUGGGACCAGGUUGUUAUCUUUCCAAGAUGACAGGAAACUCUCGGAAAAGGAGCAUGAACUGCAUUCUGAGGUUAAUUCCCAUUGGCCCUGUGCGUACAGCUCUCAGCCAGCCCCCUCCUCACCUGCAGGCUUCCUGGGACCUCAGGCCAGCAGAGCCAGGAGGCUCAGGGGCAGGAGCACGGCGGCCAUGGAGAGACGGAGGGUGAUCCCGGAGUUGGGAGGUCCCUUGGCGUUGACCAAGGCCUCAUUCUCUUUCCUGAGGAGGAGAUG